AGAUAAUAGAUACCCCGGUAGUCCACGCCCUAAACGAUGUCGACUGGUUGUUGGGGGUUUGACACCCUCAGUAAACGAAAGCUAAACGCGUGAAAGUCGACCGCCUGGGGAGUACGGCCGCAAGGUUAAAACUCAAAGGAAUUGACGGGGACCCGCACAAGCGGUGGAUUAUGUGGAUUAAUUCGAUGCAACGCGAAAAACCUUACCUACCCUUGACAUGUCCGGAAGCCUGCUGAGAGGCGGGUGUGCCCGAAUGGGAACCGGAACACAGGUGCUGCAUGGCUGUCGUCAGCUCGUGUCGUGAGAUGUUGGGUUAAGUCCCGCAACGAGCGCAACCCUUGUCAUUAGUUGCUACAUUCAGUUGGGCACUCUAAUGAGACUGCCGGUGACAAACCGGAGGAAGGUGGGGAUGACGUCAAGUCCUCAUGGCCCUUAUGGGUAGGGCUUCACACGUAAUACAAUGGCGCGUACAGAGGGCUGCUAAGCCGCGAGGUAGAGCCAAUCCCUUAAACGCGCGUCGUAGUCCGGAUUGCAGUCUGCAACUCG
rnacentral:rRNA from 1 species